CUCCGUUUGUUAUCAAAAUAAUUUUGAAAAACUAUUACAAAAUAUCCAAAAUAGUUGUCAAAUGGCGUCCGUUUACACUUAAAAAUUAGAGAGCAACCAAAAUUUGAGAGGAAAAUAUUUAUUUAAUUAAAACGGAAAAAAAAUAUAUCAACAAAAUCAGAAAUGCAAUUUACUAAUACAGAAUGAACACGUUUGAAUCUCUUACUUCAGCUAAGGUAUUGGAUAAAAAUGUGCGUGCAGUGGACGAAUUCGCUCCCAUUAAAAGUAUACUCAAUUUAUUAUAAAUAGAAAUUGUGUGUUUAAUAACUGAACUUAAUACGGUUGAUGUGCAAGCCAUUUUUUGUAAUACAAUUGUAAUUUUAAUG